GCUUUGGGUUUAUCAAUUUUGAGAAUCCUGAUGCAGCUGCUCGAGCAGUUCAAGAACUUAAUGGGAAAAAGUUUGAUGAUAAGGAAUGGUAUGUUGGCAAAGCUCAGAAGAAAUCUGAAAGAGAGUUGGAGUUGAAGGGGAGGUUUGAGCAGAGUAUGAAGGAGGCAGAGGAGAAGUUCAAGGGGGUUAACUUGUAUCUGAAGAAUUUGGAUGAUAUCAUUGGGGAUGAUCAGCUAAAAGAACUGUUUUCAGAGUUCGGUUCGAUUACUUCUUGCAAGG
rnacentral:misc_RNA from 1 species